UACCCAUUUUCACCCCUCCGACCCCUCUGACAUGAGCUUUGGUGAAUUUCAUGCUCCGAUGCUCUCCCUUGCUUUGCACUGUAUCGUGCAGGACAAGGGCUGCUUUGUUUAUAUUGUUACACUGCUAGGUAGUGGUUUCCUCUUAGCAGUAUUGUAUG